UCCAGCCUACAACACAGCCACAGCAAUGCAGGAUCUGAGCCUCAUCUGCAGCCUACACCACAGCUCACAUCAACACCAGAGCCUUGACCCACUGAGCGAGGCCAGGGAAUGAACCCGCCACCUCACGGUUACUAGUCAGAUUUGAUUCCGCUGCACCACAAAGGGAACUCCGCAUGCAUCUUUUUGAAUUAUGGUUUAUCUCCAGAAAAAUGCUCAGGAGUAGGAUCACUGCAUCAUAAAGUAGUUCUAUUUUUAGUUUUUUUAAAGGAACCUCCGUAGUGUUUCCUUAGUGGUUGUACCAAUUUAUAUUCCCACCAACAGUGUAAUAGGGUUCCCUUUUCUCUGUACCUUCUCCAGCAUUUAUUGUUUGUAGACUUUUUGAUGAUGGCCAUUCUGGCUGGUGAAGGUGAUACCUCAUAAAAGUUUCAAUUGAAUUUCUCCAAUAAUUAGCAAUGAUGUGCAUCUUCUCUUAUGUGUUUUUGCCAUCUGCAUAUCUUCUUUGGAGAAAUGUCUAUUUAGAUCUUCUGCCUAUUUUUUGAUAGAAUUGUUUGUUUGAUCUUGAGCUGCAGGGUGUGUUUGUGUAUUUUGGAUUAAUCCAUUGUCAGUAGCUUCAUUUGCAAAGAUUUCCUCCCAUUCUGUGGGUUGUCUUUUCAUUUUAUGGUUUCAUUUGCUAUACAACAACUUUUAAGUUUAACCAGGUCCAUCUGUUUAUUUUUCUUUUUCUUUUCAUUACUCUAAGAGGUGGAUCUGAGAAGAUAAUUGCUGCAGUUUAUGUCAGAGAGUAUUUGGCUUAUGUUUUCCUCCUAGAGGUUUAUAAGGAGGCUGCUAGCAUGUGAGGAAUUCCCUUCUUCCAGCCAUAGCUCAGAAAAUCCUGUAGAAUUUUAUUAUGGAGAAGGCUCAGAACAUGUUUCAGGAUGGUUACUCUCCUCUUUUGCUAACCAGGCCUGUUAAGGGACCUUUCUUGGAUUUCACUGUGCGAGAUUGAUAAGGUUCCUAGAGCUAAAGCCAACAAAACCCAAAGAGGUUCUCCUGAGACUGUGACCCUCCAAGAAUUUCUCACUCUAAAGCUCAUCCACACCCAGCCUCUGGCUAUUCACCAAAGUUAAUGUUUACAUUCAUACCAGUUCCUGGUUCUAUCAACCUCUUCUUCAAGUAAACAUAUCUUGGCUGUGUUUCCUCUUCAGACUUUGCCAACUCUUAGCAAGUUGCCCUGUAACCUAAGUUCUUUGGUGGGUCCCCCCCCCAAAAAAAAAUCAUUAAUUUCAAGUCCAAUUAGCUUCUUCUGAUUGUAAGGAUGGGUGCAAUGACUUGCAAACUCUAUGUGUUUGUGCUAAAACUAGAAGUGCAAAUGGUUCUAUGUACAGAUUAGGUUAUUUAUAUCCACGAAGUCAGAUAGAAAAUACAAAAUUUAUUCUAGUCUAUUCACAAAAUUAAAAUUCAAAGUUAAAAUAUUUUUGGGAAGAACGUUUUAUGCCCAAAGAGAACAUACUUGGCAGAGCUGAAAUAAAACUCAGCUUGCACUAAAUUUAUAAUAGUAUAAUUGCAUUUGUGUGAAUUUGGUUCCCAGCAAACAUUUAUAUACCCCAGACCAGAUUGUGUGUGAAACAUGAUGCUGGGCUCCACCAAUACAGGAAGCACAAGCACAAAAACCACUAAACUCCUGGAGAUAACAUUCAGUCGGAGAUAGACCAGUGAAUAAAGAAUAUGACAUAUGUUAUAAAGAAAUAUGAGCGUAGUGUUAUGGGCAGAAUGAAGUGCUUCUCAAUACAGAAGUACAAUUUCAGAAUUUGUUUUCCAUAUAUGCAUUUAGAUUUUCGUUCUUAGCACUUGGAGAUGCACUCAGCAAUAGGGUUUGUCCUCUGGAGGCCAUGAAACUUUGGAGGUUGCCAGGGAUGUAUGUUAAAAGGAGUUCUGUGCAUAAAUUGCAUUAGCAUCAGUUUUAAUCCCCAUUUCCCUAAUCGGCUUACUGAAAGCUAUCUCCAAUAUUGACAUUUCUCUAUUUUAUCUUCUUUUCUAAAAGCCUUAUGAUAGUUUUGACAGGAAUACACAUACUUAAUUCUCAGGAAAAGUAUAUGUAUAUUUGAGCUUUCAUAAGGCUAAAUUUCUUUAAGGCAGUAUUACUGCAUUCAUGAAAAAUAAAAUGCAAUGCACAGUCUCAGGAAGCAGACACUACAAAGAAUAACAGAAUCACCUGACCAGCAUCAUGACAUGCAUUGCCUAGCAACCUUCUGUGAUUUGCAUUAAGUCAGCAGGUUCCAUGGUCCUGAGGAAUAAGAAGAUCUCUGUAAUACCCUUUAAAAUAUUUAUUAAUUUUGGCAUCCAAAGUUUAUACUCAAUUAUUUCUUUUCACUUUUAUAUUGUCCUCCAGAUCUGGGCAUGGAGUGAUAUAUGAAUCUCCUUUGCAUUUUGACAACACAUAGAGACCACUUGAUUGCAAAAAAAUGCUCCAACUCUGAGGUAUCCCUCAGGUCACUUAGUAAAACUGUCAUUUUUCUUAUGCCUCUAUUAUUUUUGUUUAUUUUCCUUUUCUCAUACCCUCACCUCACACAUGUUAUGUGCCUCACUUACGAGUACACCAGGGAUACUAAUUUUUCUUCAUGAGUUAACGGUAGGGCCUCUUGGUUUUUAUCGUCUCUAAAAGACUAAGGAAGACUAGAGCUUAAAAGAAAAUACUGAAGUGCUUCCAUAAUUUAAACUGAAAUCACAUCUUAUUUUUCAUCUUCUGGAGACCACCAUUUGUUCUUUUCAUGCUAGACCAAAGAAACGGAACAGACGUAUGUGCCCAAGUUGAUGACUUAUUCGAAUCCUCUUCAGGGAGUGGCAGUGGUCUUUUGGACUCAAUGUUCAUUCCAAAGCCUAGUAAACACUGUCCCUUUCCCACCCUCCCUUCUUAUGACCCUCUCAUGAAGGCUGUGGAAAAUUUGAGAGGACCAAUGCUUCUUAUAAUUCUCAGCAUACUGUAUUCCCCUCCUGUAUGUUUGCAAUCUUAAAUGGCCUUUAAAUUAUCUCUGUAUCUCUGCCUUCCCCUUUCUAAAUGUUCCAACGUGAAACCUGAAUGAGUCCCAAGGUGAGCCCUUGGCUUUCCCUGGCCAGCCAGCCAGCGUAGUUACAGCAGGGCCUGAUUCUGGCCUUUGAGAUAUGCAGUGUUCAAGGCUGUCACCCCUGAGCUCAGUCUCUGCAUCCGUGAGCGUACUGGACACAGUGAAAGAUGAGAAAAUAAAUCUUCAUCUGUCAAGUUGCCAAGAGACAUAAUUCUCUCUUCCUUUGUAAAGGGGCUUGCUUGGUAAUCCUGAAAAUAAAGCCCUGUAGUUCUACUGCUUUAUGCCUUGUCACUUAACUAUAUAUAAAAUGAUCCAACCAUAUGAUCUGUUCUUCCACUGAGAAGUGAGGGUAGGUUUCCCAAACAGUCAGAACAAAAUGGCAGAAGCCCUCCAUCUUCCUUGGUGGAGUCAGGAAUGGGCUGAACUCUGCAGGGAACUUUCUCCUGUUCUCUGGAGAUUAGAGUUGUCAGUAUCUGCAUCUAUAUAGUCUCCCGCAAUCUACCAGGACGUAUUUGAAGUAGAUUUGAAGGAUGCUUUAGCAACAACAUUAGCUUAAAGCCUUAGAAUGCUCUGUCUCCACCUGAGUAAUUUCAUUAUGAAAGUUUUUGGAAGAGAGAGCAGAUGAAAAAGAGCAGAAGCUGAAUUUACCAAAUGUUCCUUGGGCUGUUCUACUAUUUUCCUAUGAGAAUAAACUAAUGAAUUCAUGGAUCAUUGGUCUAUAUACUGCUAAAAAAUCCCUUUAGUCUUUUGGAGGCCACAAAAAUGAGAGGACCACAAUGAUCUACUUAUUUCUUUCAUUUAGCCUUCACUGAUCAUCUGAAACAUGAUACCCAAUGCUAUAAACAUUAGAAAUACAAAUAAUAAUAACUUAUUCUAUAGUAUAUGCUUGAGAAAGACAGAGUCAACUAGAAACUAGCAAAUAUUUGUCAUAUCAAGCUGUCAGUUUUACAUGCAAAUGAAUUCCCCAGGAUUAUUUAAAUUUCAAGUGCUUUUACCCAUAAAAUUACAUAUUUGGCUCUUCCCCACCCCAUUCCACAAUCUUAAACUUAUGUUAUUCAAAUCUGAAGAAAAAAAAAUCAGUGAAGAUACUAAGUUCAAUAAGCACUCUGUAAGAAGCAUCAGGGGAACUUGAAAUUUGAUCUGGUCCCACAAGUGAGCUACAAAAUGGAGCAUUUAGGCAAUUCCACAUCAAUCAAGCUCAAUGACUAUUUAUCUGAAACAACCAACAAAUGGAGACUAUGGUAUUUUCUUGGCUUAAUUA
rnacentral:lncRNA from 1 species